rnacentral:rRNA from 2 species
AAAUUGAAGAGUUUGAUCAUGGCUCAGAUUGAACGCUGGCGGCAGGCCUAACACAUGCAAGUCGAACGGUAACAGGAAGCAGCUUGCUGCUUCGCUGACGAGUGGCGGACGGGUGAGUAAUGUCUGGGAAACUGCCUGAUGGAGGGGGAUAACUACUGGAAACGGUAGCUAAUACCGCAUAAUGUCGCAAGACCAAAGAGGGGGACCUUCGGGCCUCUUGCCAUCGGAUGUGCCCAGAUGGGAUUAGCUAGUAGGUGGGGUAACGGCUCACCUAGGCGACGAUCCCUAGCUGGUCUGAGAGGAUGACCAGCCACACUGGAACUGAGACACGGUCCAGACUCCUACGGGAGGCAGCAGUGGGGAAUAUUGCACAAUGGGCGCAAGCCUGAUGCAGCCAUGCCGCGUGUAUGAAGAAGGCCUUCGGGUUGUAAAGUACUUUCAGCGGGGAGGAAGGCGAUAAGGUUAAUAACCUUGUCGAUUGACGUUACCCGCAGAAGAAGCACCGGCUAACUCCGUGCCAGCAGCCGCGGUAAUACGGAGGGUGCAAGCGUUAAUCGGAAUUACUGGGCGUAAAGCGCACGCAGGCGGUCUGUCAAGUCGGAUGUGAAAUCCCCGGGCUCAACCUGGGAACUGCAUUCGAAACUGGCAGGCUAGAGUCUUGUAGAGGGGGGUAGAAUUCCAGGUGUAGCGGUGAAAUGCGUAGAGAUCUGGAGGAAUACCGGUGGCGAAGGCGGCCCCCUGGACAAAGACUGACGCUCAGGUGCGAAAGCGUGGGGAGCAAACAGGAUUAGAUACCCUGGUAGUCCACGCCGUAAACGAUGUCGACUUGGAGGUUGUGCCCUUGAGGCGUGGCUUCCGGAGCUAACGCGUUAAGUCGACCGCCUGGGGAGUACGGCCGCAAGGUUAAAACUCAAAUGAAUUGACGGGGGCCCGCACAAGCGGUGGAGCAUGUGGUUUAAUUCGAUGCAACGCGAAGAACCUUACCUACUCUUGACAUCCAGAGAACUUUCCAGAGAUGGAUUGGUGCCUUCGGGAACUCUGAGACAGGUGCUGCAUGGCUGUCGUCAGCUCGUGUUGUGAAAUGUUGGGUUAAGUCCCGCAACGAGCGCAACCCUUAUCCUUUGUUGCCAGCGGUCCGGCCGGGAACUCAAAGGAGACUGCCAGUGAUAAACUGGAGGAAGGUGGGGAUGACGUCAAGUCAUCAUGGCCCUUACGAGUAGGGCUACACACGUGCUACAAUGGCGCAUACAAAGAGAAGCGACCUCGCGAGAGCAAGCGGACCUCAUAAAGUGCGUCGUAGUCCGGAUUGGAGUCUGCAACUCGACUCCAUGAAGUCGGAAUCGCUAGUAAUCGUGGAUCAGAAUGCCACGGUGAAUACGUUCCCGGGCCUUGUACACACCGCCCGUCACACCAUGGGAGUGGGUUGCAAAAGAAGUAGGUAGCUUAACCUUCGGGAGGGCGCUUACCACUUUGUGAUUCAUGACUGGGGUGAAGUCGUAACAAGGUAACCGUAGGGGAACCUGCGGUUGGAUCACCUCCUUA